AACGAACGCUGGCGGCAUGCCUAACACAUGCAAGUCGAACGAACCUUUCGGGGUGAGUGGCGCACGGGUGCGUAACACGUGGGAACCUGCCCUUAGGUUCGGAAUAACACAGAGAAAUUUGUGCUAAUACCGGAUAAUGUCUUCGGACCAAAGAUUUAUCGCCUUUGGAUGGGCCCGCGUAGGAUUAGCUAGUUGGUGAGGUAAAGGCUCACCAAGGCGACGAUCCUUAGCUGGUCUUAGAGGAUGAUCAGCCACACUGGGACUGAGACACGGCCCAGACUCCUACGGGAGGCAGCAGUGGGGAAUAUUGGACAAUGGGCGAAAGCCUGAUCCAGCAAUGCCGCGUGAGUGAUGAAGGCCUUAGGGUUGUAAAGCUCUUUUACCUGGGAUGAUAAUGACAGUACCAGGAGAAUAAGCCCCGGCUAACUCCGUGCCAGCCGCCGCAGUAAUAC
rnacentral:rRNA from 1 species